rnacentral:rRNA from 1 species
AACGAACGCUGGCGGCGCGCUUAACACAUGCAAGUCGAACGAGAAGGCGUAGCAAUACGCUUGUACAGUGGCGAACGGGUGAGUAAUACGUGGGCGACCUACCCUCGAGUGGGGAAUAACCCGCCGAAAGGCGGGCUAAUGCCGCGUACGCUUCCAUCUUUAUGGAGGUGGAAGGAAAGCCGUGCCGUGGGCACGGCGUUCAAGGAUGGGCUCACGUCCUAUCAGCUUGUUGGUAGGGUAACGGCCUACCAAGGCUCCGACGGGUAGCUGGUCUGAGAGGACGAUCAGCCACACUGGCACUGCGACACGGGCCAGACUCCUACGGGAGGCAGCAGUGAGGAAUAUUGCGCAAUGGGCGAAAGCCUGACGCAGCGACGCCGCGUGGGGGA